rnacentral:tRNA from 1 species
GCGCCCUUAGCUCAGUUGGAUAGAGCAACAGCCUUCUAAGCUGUGGGUCGGGAGUUCGAAUCUUCCAGGGCGCACCA